UGGUGGAGUGAUUUGUCUGGUUAAUUCCGAUAACGAACGAGACCUUAACCUGCUAAAUAGCCAGGCCGGCUUUGGCUGGUCGUCGGCUUCUUAGAGGGACUGUCAGUGUCUAACUGACGGAAGUUUGAGGCAAUAACA
rnacentral:rRNA from 1 species